CGCUCUCCAUUCCUGGAUCUAGAAGCGGUAAGCCGGUAAUCCCUGCACCCUUUCCUUCUCCUUCUUCGCACUCUCCAGAGGACAAGACGAGGCAAAAGGGAUCGAAAGAAGAAAGAAAGAAAGAAAACAAAGGAGGACCUCCGAAAACCCUAAAGCUAUGGCGGAGCUCCUCCCUCCCCGAUCGGCAACGGAUCUCUUCGGCGAUCCCAUCGAAUCCCAGCCCCUCUGGUUCAAGGCCUCCUCCUUCCACCGC
rnacentral:lncRNA from 1 species